GAUGAACGCUAGCUACAGGCUUAACACAUGCAAGUCGAGGGGUAACGAGAGGAAAGCUUGCUUUCCUUGUCGACGACCGGCGCACGGGUGAGUAACGCGUAUCCAACCUGCCCCCAACUAAGGAAUAACCUUGCGAAAGUAAGACUAAUACCUUAUAAUUUCCUCAGAUGUCAUCUGACGAGGAAUAAAGAUUCAUCGGUUGUGGAUGGGGAUGCGUCUGAUUAGCUUGUUGGCGGGGUAACGGCCCACCAAGGCAACGAUCAGUAGGGGUUCUGAGAGGAAGGUCCCCAACAUUGGAACGGAGACACGGUCCAAACUCCUACGGGAGGCAGCAGUGAGGAAUAUUGGUCAAUGGGCGGAAGCCUGAACCAGCCAAGUAGCGUGCAGGAUGACGGCCCUAUGGGUUGUAAACUGCUUUUAUACAGGAAUAAAGUUAGCCACGUGUGGUUAUUUGUAGGUACUGUAUGAAUAAGGACCGGCUAAUUCCGUGCCAGCCGCCGCAGUAA
rnacentral:rRNA from 1 species